rnacentral:lncRNA from 1 species
AGUAUGGGCAUUUUCCCCACAUGAGUAAACCUACAUUGUCCUCUGUAGUGGCCAUAAUUUUAUUAAAGAAAAGAGAUUGGGGUGGUUUGGCCUAACUUCUUUUUGGAUUCAUGCUGUUGUCUUUUUCCAUUGUGUUUAAAAACCAACAGUUUAAUUUUUCAGUGAUUAAAUAUAUACCCUUGGACUAUAGAUAACAAAACCUAUUUUUAAAAAUCCAGAUGCAUUUCCAAUUACCCACGAUCCUUCAAAGUGUAGCCCCUGUGGCUUGACAUUCUCAUCCUUAAGUCCUUUAAGUUCACUUCAAUGUGGCUCAGUUGGGACAAGCAAUUUGGACUCACUCAAAGCAGUGGUGAGCUUUCUUCUAUCUUA